rnacentral:miRNA from 1 species
UUUUGGAUCACCUGGGAUUCUUAUUGGAAAUGCAGGUUUGAUUCCACAUGUCUGGAGUGAGGCUUGAGGUUCUAUAUUUCUAACAAGCUCCCAGGUGAUGCUCAG